rnacentral:tRNA from 1 species
GGUCUCGUAGUAUAGCGGUUAGUACAUCGGGUUUUCAUCCCGACAAUGCGGGUUCGACUCCCGCCGAGAUCACCA